AGAGUUUGAUCCUGGCUCAGGACGAACGCUGGCGGCGUGCUUAACACAUGCAAGUCGAACGGAAAGGCCCCUUCGGGGGUACUCGAGUGGCGAACGGGUGAGUAACACGUGGGUAAUCUGCCCUGCACUUCGGGAUAAGCCUGGGAAACUGGGUCUAAUACCGGAUAUGACCACGAGGCGCAUGCCUUGUGGUGGAAAGCUUUUGCGGUGUGGGAUGGGCCCGCGGCCUAUCAGCUUGUUGGUGGGGUGACGGCUUACCAAGGCGACGACGGGUUGCCGGCCUGACAGGGUGUCCGGCCACACUGGGACUGAGAUACGGCCCAGACUCCUACGGGAAGCAGCAGUGGGGAAUAUUGCACAAUGGGCGCAAGCCUGAUGCAGCGACGCCGCGUGGGGGAUGACGGCCUUCGGGUUGUAAACCUCUUUCAGCAGGGACGAAGCGCAAGUGACGGUACCUGCAGAAGAAGCACCGGCCAACUACGUGCCAGCAGCCGCGGUAAUACGUAGGGUGCGAGCGUUGUCCGGAAUUACUGGGCGUAAAGAGCUCGUAGGUGGUUUGUCGCGUUGUUCGUGAAAACCGGGGGCUUAACCCUCGGCGUGCGGGCGAUACGGGCAGACUGGAGUACUGCAGGGGAGACUGGAAUUCCUGGUGUAGCGGUGGAAUGCGCAGAUAUCAGGAGGAACACCGGUGGCGAAGGCGGGUCUCUGGGCAGUAACUGACGCUGAGGAGCGAAAGCGUGGGGAGCGAACAGGAUUAGAUACCCUGGUAGUCCACGCCGUAAACGGUGGGUACUAGGUGUGGGUUUCCUUCCUUGGAAUCCGAGCCGUAGCUAACGCAUUAAGUACCCCGCCUGGGGAGUACGGCCGCAAGGCUAAAACUCAAAGGAAUUGACGGGGGCCCGCACAAGCGGCGGAGCAUGUGGAUUAAUUCGAUGCAACGCGAAGAACCUUACCUGGGUUUGACAUGCACAGGACGCCGGCAGAGAUGUCGGUUCCCUUGUGGCCUGUGUGCA
rnacentral:rRNA from 1 species